UUUGCUCCAAACUCCCAUUACCAUAAUGCAAAAAACCUGGACAUGUUUUUGUGAGAUCCACCCAUUUAUGUUGUCAAUUGUUUCAGGCAUGGCUGCCGUUGGUCCAUCAUUGGGCAUGAUGUACAUGGCACUGAAACCAUCGAGAGUGAGUACACAAUAUGAACUACACGCUUUACGUCUGAAUAACCCUGAACCUAGGAAACAUGAAUAUCUCAAGUUUGACGGCAUACAGUCCCGCUGUUUUUGCACUCAACGACGUUGCUGCAGUAGUUGGCCCUCACUAGAGCAUUCAUCGACUCCACCAGACGUCACUACACAUCAUUGAUUGAGUCACUGGGACCUGCUGAUUACAAAUACACCACACUAGAGGAUACUAAAGAGUUUAUUCACGCUCACAGGCCGCCCAAACUCUUUAGAAGAAGUUCUACAGGAAAUGAGAGACUAUCAUUAGUUGAAUGAACAG